GAGGAUCUCUGUGAGCUCGAGGC
rnacentral:piRNA from 1 species